GUAGGCGUAGUUUCAAAGUAGGACCGCUUCGGCUGAGCCUGCGCGGUACUCCUGACCCAGGGAACGGAGGAGCGGGGAGGGGAGCCAACAUGGCGGCGUCCAGCUGCAGGCUGUGAGCUACAGGCAGAGACACCUUACACACAGGAAUCGCCAGGGAACACAGACUGGACGGACUUGUGCGUUAGCAGGGCAAAAGAAGUAGUAGGUGUCGCGCGCAUCUAACGGGGUGCGCGAGCUCGAGAGGGGCGGGACCACAGCCCCGGAUAUAACGCGACUCUCUUAUAGGUCUCAAUGCAAAAUGAAUAUAAUUAGAGAGAAUAAGGAUCUGGCCUGUUUCUACACAACAAAGCAUUCCUGGAGGGGAAAGUAUAAGAGAGUGUUUUCAGUUGGAACGCACGCCAUUACUACAUACAACCCUACCACUCUUGAAGUUACAAAUCAGUGGCCUUAUGGAGACAUUUGUGGUAUCAGCCCUGUGGGCAAAGGACAAGGAACAGAAUUUGCUCUUACAUUUAGGAAAGGCAGCGGGAAAAAGUCUGAGACCUUAAAGUUUUCUACAGAGCACAGAACAGAACUUCUAACAGAAGCACUGCGAUUCAGGACAGACUUUUCAGAAGGAAAGAUCACUGGACGGAGAUACAGUUGCUACAAACAUCAUUGGAGCGAUACAAGAAAACUGGUCACUCUGGAAGUGACUCCUGGAAGUAUUGACCAGAUUGAUCCAACAAAUAAUCGUAUUCUAUGCUCUUAUGAUUAUCGAAACGUUGAAGGAUUUGCAGAGCUCUCUGAUUACCAGGGAGGGUUUUGCAUUCUUUAUGGAGGAUUUAGCAGACUGCAUUUAUUUGCAUCGGAGCAAAGAGAAGACAUAAUUAAAAGUGCCAUAGAGCAUGCUGGGACAUUCAUGGGUAUGACCUUGAGAACUAGAAAAGACCCUUUUGAGUUUGAGCACUUUAUGAACUAUCGCUUGGGCAAGUACAGCACUGAUGAAUCCAUCACCUCCUUAGCAGAAUUCAUUGUCCAAAAAAUCACCCCAAGGCAUUCGGAGCCUGUGAAACGAUUGUUAGCACUUACAGAAACAUGCCUAGUAGAAAGAGAUCCAGCCACCUACAAUAUUGUAACGCUGAAGCCGCUUGGUGAGAUAUUUGCACUAGUUUAUGAUCCUGAAAACCCACAGCUUUUUACAAUUGAGUUUAUCAAGGGCCAGAUCCGAAAAUAUUCUUCAACUGAAAGAGAUUCACUACUUGCAAGUCUGUUAGAUGGAGUAAGAGCUUCUGGCAACAGGGAUAUUUGUGUCAAGAUGACCCCGACUCAGAGAGGGCAGCGUUGGGGUCUCUUGAGUGUACCUGUGGAUGAAGAAGUUGAGAGCCUUCAUUUGAGAUUCCUAAACACACCUCCGAAUGGAGUCUUUGCAGAUGCCGUGUUUAGGUUCAACGCCAAUAUUUCUUACAGUGGAGUUCUGCACGCAGUAACACAAGAUGGCCUUUUUUCUGAAAACAAAGAGAAGUUGAUAAAUAAUGCCAUAACAUCGUUACUUUCCCAAGAAGGAGAUCUGGCAGCAUCUAACCCUGAGCUUGAAAGCCAAUUCCAGGCAGUCAGGAGAUUAGUGGCUUCCAAAGCAGGAUUCCUGGCAUUUACUCAGCUACCAAAAUUUCGAGAGCGUCUUGGAGUCAAAGUGGUCAAAGCUCUGAAAAGGAAUAAUGACGGGGUAACCCACGCUGCUAUUGAUAUGUUGUGCGCACUUAUGUGUCCUAUGCAUGAUGACUAUGACUUGAGACAAGAACAGCUGAACAAAGCUUCCCUUCUUUCUUCUAAAAAGUUUCUGGAAAACUUGCUUGAAAAGUUUAACUCUUAUGUGAAUUAUGGGACAGGUGCUCUGGUUAUCAGCUCACUUUUGGACUUUCUUACGUUUGCACUGUGUGCUCCGUACAGUGAGACAACCGAAGGACAACAGUUUGACAUGUUGUUGGAGAUGGUGGCCUCAAAUGGCAGAACCCUGUUUAAGCUAUUCCAGCAUCCCUCCAUGGCUAUUGUGAAGGGUGCAGGCUUAGUAAUGAAGGCUAUAAUAGAGGAAGCAGAUAAAGAAAUUGCUACAAAAAUGCAAGAGCUCGCCCUCAGUGAAGGUGCCUUACCUCGUCACUUACACACUUCCAUGUUUACAAUAAGCGUUGAUCAGAGAAUGCUCACAAAUCGGCAACUCAGUAGACACUUAGUGGGCCUAUGGACUGCUGACAAUGCAACAUCUAAAAAUCUUCUUAAGCGCAUUUUGCCUCCAGGUUUGCUGGCAUACCUGGAUAGCUCUGAUGCAGUUCCUGAAAAGGAUGUUGAUCGUAUGCACAUCAGGGAUAAUCUCAAAAUUGCUUCUGACCAAUAUGGAAAAUUUAACAAAGUACCAGAAUGGCAAAGAGUGGCUGGAAAAGCUGCUAAAGAAGUUGAAAAAUUUGCCAAGGAAAAAGUGGACCUGGUUUUAAUGCACUGGAGGGACAGGAUGGGAAUCGCUCAAAAAGAGGACAGAAAUAAUAUGAACAUUACUCAAAAGCCUGUCAUACUUCGAAAGAGGAGGCAAAGGAUAAAAAUAGAAGCCAACUGGGAGCUUUUCUACUACAGGUUUCACCAGGAUCAUGCUCGCUCAAAUUUGAUCUGGAAUUUUAAAACCCGGGAGGAGCUGAGAGACACCCUGGAGGCUGAAAUGCGAGCAUUUACAGUGGACCGGGAACUUGGGAGUUUGAAUGUGAUUUCAUGGAACCAUCAUGAAUUUGAGGUGAAGUAUGAGUGUCUUGCUGAUGAGAUUAAAAUAGGGGAUUAUUAUCUUCGUUUGCUUUUGGAAGAAGAUGACAACGAGAAUUCCAGUGCAAUAAAACAAUCGUAUGAAUUUUUUAAUGAGCUGUAUCACCGGUUUCUCCUCACCCCUAAAGUGAACAUGAAGUGUUUAUGUUUACAAGCCCUGGCUAUUGUGUAUGGGAGGUGCCAUGAAGAAAUUGGACCAUUUAGUGACACUAAAUAUAUUAUUGGCAUGCUGGAGAGGUGUACUGACAGACUGGAAAGGGACAGACUGAUAUUAUUCUUGAACAAACUUAUUCUCAAUAAGAAAAAUGUCAAGGAUAUAAUGGACUCAAAUGGUGUACGAAUCCUUGUUGACAUUCUCACUCUUGCACAUCUUCAUACGAGUCGAGCUACUGUACCUUUACAAAGCAAUGUUAUUGAAGCUUCUCCUGAUAUGAAGAGAGAAAGUGAGAAAGAAUGGUAUUUUGGUAAUGCUGAUAAGGAAAGGAGGGGUCCCUAUAGUUUUGAAGAGAUGCAAGAAUUCUGGACCACAGGAGUGCUAAGUCCCAAAACCCGUUGCUGGGCCCAAGGAAUGGAUGGCUGGCGACCUCUGCAGGUCAUUCCUCAGUUGAAGUGGUGUUUGUUGGCGAGUGGGCAAGCUGUACUAAAUGAGACUGACCUAGCUACACUCAUCCUUAACAUGCUUAUCACAAUGUGUGGAUACUUUCCCAGCAGAGAUCAGGAUAAUGCCAUUAUAAGACCGUUGCCCAAGGUAAAGAGGCUACUGACCGAUAACACUUGCCUUCCCCAUAUAACCCAGCUUUUGCUGACGUUUGACCCCAUCCUGGUUGAGAAGGUUUCCAUAUUGCUCUAUCACAUCAUGCAAGACAACCCACAGCUGCCUCGUUUCUAUCUUACUGGAGUAUUCUUCUUUAUUAUGAUGUACACUGGUUCCAACGUUCUACCUAUAGCCAGGUUUUUAAAGUAUUCCCAUACAAAACAGGCUUUUAGGUCAGAAGAGAGCAAAGGACCAGAUAUUUUUCAACGGAGCAUACUUGGCCAUAUCCUUCCUGAAGCUAUGGUCUGCUACCUAGAAAAUUAUGAACCAGAAAAGUUUUCUGAAAUUUUCCUUGGAGAGUUUGAUACUCCAGAAGCCAUAUGGAGCAGUGAAAUGAGACGACUAAUGAUAGAGAAGAUUGCUGCCCAUCUGGCUGACUUCAGCCCCCGCUUACAAAGUAACACAAGAGCACUUUAUCAGUAUUGUCCUAUUCCUGCUAUCAAUUACCCACAACUAGAGAAUGAGCUCUUCUGCAACAUUUACUACCUGAAACAUUUCUGUGACACACUCCGGUUUCCCAACUGGCCUAUCAAGGAUCCUGUAAAGCUUCUAAAGGAUACUCUGGAUUCUUGGAAAAAAGAAGUAGAAAAGAAGCCUCCCACAAUGUCUAUAGAAGAUGCCUACGAAGUGCUUGGUCUUCCUAAAGGACAAGGCCAGCAUGACGAGAGUAAGAUAAGAAAAGCUUACUUCAGACUUGCCCAAAAAUAUCAUCCUGACAAGAACCCAGAAGGAAGGGACAUGUUUGAAAUUGUUAAUAAGGCAUAUGAGUUCUUGUGCACAAAAUCCACCAAAAUGAUUGAUGGACCAGAUCCUGAGAAUAUCAUCUUGAUUUUAAAAACUCAAAGCAUCCUUUUCAACAGACAUAAAGAUGAUCUUCAGCCUUACAAGUAUGCAGGUUACCCCAUGCUCAUCAAGACCAUCACAAUGGAGACAUCAGAUGAACAACUUUUCUCAAAGUUAUCACUGUUACCUGCAGCAACAGAGUUGGCGUUUCACACUGUGAAUUGUUCUGCACUUAACGCAGAAGAGCUCAGGAGAGAGAAUGGCAUAGAGGUAUUACAAGAAGCUUUCUCACGGUGUGUUUCAGUAUUAACUCCCUCCAGUAAGCCUGAAGAUAUGCCUGUGCAGGUAUGCGGCCAUAUAUGUAAGUGCUACAGUGUUGCAGCCCAAUUUGAAGACUGCAGGGAGAAGAUCACAGAAAUGCCAAACAUAAUCAAAGAUCUAUGCAGGGUUUUGUACUAUGGCAAGAAGGUCCAAAGGCUGACAGCUAUGGCAGUGGAAUGUGUCAGCUCCUUUGCAGUGGAUUAUUGGUUGCAAACACAUUUAUUUCAAGCAGGGAUUUUGUGGCACUUACUAUCUUAUCCUUUCAACUAUGAUUUCACACUAGAGGAAAGUGGCAUUCAAAAAAAUGAGGACACAAAUCAACAGGAAGUUGCCAAUAGUCUUGCCAAGCUGAGCCUCCAUGCUAUUAGCCGUCUCGGUGGAUAUUUGUCUGGAGACCAAGAAACACCAGAAAACCCUUCUCUAAGGAAGAGUAUAGCUGGAAUGCUUACCCCAUACAUUUCUAGGAAGCUUGCAGAUUUAUCCCCUACAGAGAUUUUAAAGAUGCUAAAUAGUAACUCUGAAAGCCCAUACUUAAUAUGGAACAAUGGAACAAGAGCAGAACUUUUAGAAUUUCUUGAAUCUCAGCAAGAAAGCAUGACCAGAAGGGGAGAUUGUGAUAAAAGCUAUGGAGCAGAAUUUGUUUACAGUGACCACUCCAAAGAACUUAUUGUUGGGGAGAUCUUUGUACGGGUAUACAAUGAGCAGCCAACUUUCCAGCUUGAGCUUCCAAAAGCAUUUGCGGCUAGCCUGCUAGAUUACAUCGGUUCCCAAGCACAGUACCUCUACACAUUAAUGGCCAUGACUCAAACUGGAAAAGUAGAAUCUGAUCAGCAUGGAGACAGGUUACUACGGGUUGAGAUGGCUCUGGAAGCUUUAAGGAAUGUCAUUAAGCACAACCCUGGCUCCGAGACUGAAUGCAUUGGGCAGUUUAAAUUAUUAUUUUCAUUGUUGCGAGUCCAUGGCGCUGGCAAGGUGCAGCAACUUGCAUUAGAGGUUGUCAAUAUAGUUACCAGCAACCAAGAAUGUGUAAAUAACAUUGCAGAGUCUUUGGUUCUGUCCAGCUUAUUGUCUCUCUUGCAUUCCUUGCCAACAAGUCGGCAGCUUGUUCUUGCAACUCUUUAUGCCUUGACAUCCAAUACAAAAAUAAUAAAGGAGGCCAUGGCAAAAGGUGCUUUAAUCUACUUGUUGGAUAUGUUUUGCAACUCCACUCACCCUCAAGUACGAUCCCAGACUGCCGAGCUGUUUGCCAAAAUGACUACAGACAAGCUUAUUGGCCCUAAGGUUAGAAUUGCACUGAUGAAGUUUUUGCCAGCUGUAUUUAUGGAUGCUAUGCGGGACAACCCUGAAGCUGCUGUACAUAUAUUUGAAGGAACCCAUGAAAAUCCUGAAUUAAUCUGGAAUGACAACUCAAGGGAGAAAGUCUCUACAACAGUUAGAGAAAUGAUGUUAGAACAUUUUAAGAGACAAGUAGACAAUCCAGAUGCAAAUUGGAAGCUACCAGACGAUUUCACAGUUGGGUUUGGGGAGGCAGAAGGGGAACUGUCCAUAGGGGGUGUCUUCUUAAGGAUCUUCAUUGCACAGCCAACGUGGGUACUCCGAAAGCCAAGAGACUUUCUUGUUGCACUUUUAGAAAAGUUCACUGAGCUACUGGAAAAGAAUAAUGCCCAUGGUGAAACUUUAGAAACUGUAACUACGGCAACAGUCUGUCUGUUCAACGCACAGCCUCAGUUACUGGACCAAGUACCACCUUUGGGUCAUCUGCCCAAAAUACUCCAGGCCAUGAGCCACAAGAACAACGCCAUUCCAAAGUGUGCGAUAAGGGUUAUUCAUGCGUUGUCUGAUAAUGAGUUGUGUGUUCGUUCAAUGGCUUCAUUGGAGACAAUUGGCCCUCUUAUAAGUGGAAUGAAAAAACGUUCAGAUACAGUCGGAUUAGCCUGUGAAGCACUUAACAAAAUGUUCCAGAAGGAGCAAACUGAACUAGUUGCCCAAGCUUUAAAAGCUGACCUGGUUCCAUAUUUAUUAAGGUUAUUAGAAGGGUACGGCCUUGAAAAUUUGGAAAGCCCAGCAGCCACAAAGGCUCAAAUAGUUAAAGCUCUUAAAUCAAUGACUCGCAGUCUGCAGUAUGGAGAACAGGUAAAUGAAAUUCUAACUCGAUCUUCUGUCUGGAGUGCCUUUAAAGAUCAGAAACAUGACUUGUUCAUUUCUGAAUCACAAACAGCAGGAUACCUCACUGGUGUCUCUCCUUCCCUUCUUACUGGUAGCAGCCCCCUUCAUCUCAGAAGUGGGCUUUAGACGCUCUCUUCCAAGCUGCUUACUAACUGCUGUGUAGCUCUUUAAUACAGGACCUGGAGUUGCUGGCUAUCUUACAGCAGGAUCUGCAUCAACAGUUAUGCAUAAUGUACCUCCACCGGUGGACCACGAUGCAGGAGAUCUUGGAUAAAAAGAUAGAAAGAUUUUGGGUCAAUGAAGUUUCAAACAAUGGAAUCUCAAAUUGUUGCACGAGGGAGACAGAUGCAAACCUUCCCUCCCCCAGAGAUGAUUUAAAAAGAACUUUAUUUUCUGCCUUCCUUGUUUUAUGACAAAGUGUUAUUCCUUUUUGUAAAAAAUAUAUUUUUAUUUAGGGGUUACAAAAUAAAUCUGGGAUGAGAUUCUGAUGAAGCAUUACUAUGUAACGUAAAAGUGAAAGCAUUCUGGAUCGCCCGUCAGGUUACAUAGGUUUGUUUUUGUCUGUCUUAUUUUUUUUGUACCUAAGCACAUUCUGUUCCUAUUUGUUUACAAGACUGUGAAUCAAAAUAAUCUCCAUGUUCUUAGUUUUAUAUUCCAUAAAUUGACAGGAUUAUCACAUGAAACAAAUGUCUAAAGGGCAUUUUGCUUCCGUUCUCUUUAAUGUUUGACAUGGUUGGGCUCUGUGAACUUUAAAGGAUUUUUGAAUUAUUUUUUUUCUAAUUAUGUUCUUUACAAAUCAUUAACACUAUCUGCCCAUGAAGAAUGAAGAACUGAAGAUAUUCCCAUGUACAGCCUAGCUUUACCAAAUAAUAAAUUAAAACGAAUAUCUGUGUGAAGAAUAAAAAAUAAAAUGUCCGCUUGUUAUGUAAGAACAUAGUCUAAUAGUGACAUGAUUUAAACAUUAUCCAAUAUGUACAACUUUCUAUGUACAAUAUACAUACAGAUCAUUCAUGUACAUAACAUUUUAAGAAAAUAAAGGGAAUUAAAAACCUUGUUAAGGAAA